GAGAUUCCCCCAGUAGCGGCGAGCGAACGGGGAGGAGCCCAGAGCCUGAAUCAGCAUGUGUGUUAGUGGAAGCGUCUGGAAAGACGCGCGAUACAGGGUGACAGCCCCGUACACAAAAGCGCAUGUGCUGUGAGCUCGAUGAGUAGGGCGGGACACGUGGUAUCCUGUCUGAAUAUGGGGGGACCAUCCUCCAAGGCUAAAUACUCCUGAC
rnacentral:rRNA from 1 species